AUCACUUCUCGGCCUUUUGGCUAAGAUCAAGUGUAGGAUCUGUUUUAAUGAUAGUGCAACAAAGGUAAAAAAUAAAACCCAAA
rnacentral:snRNA from 1 species